rnacentral:lncRNA from 10 species
GCUGCUGGGAUACCGGAGGACUCGGGUCCCGGCUCGACUCAGUCCUCCAGCCGCCCGGGGAAUACCUCUAGUUCUUCCCGGCCGCCGCCGCCGCCGCCGCCCCGCCGCUUCCUCCUCCGCCUGCCGGCCUCCUUCGCCCCGUCCCGUCCGCGCAGCGCGUCCGGCCCGCCCGCAGGCCAGCUUCUCUCGGGAGCCCCCACCCAGGCGCAUGGCUCCAUGAAGCAAGAGGAGGAGGCAGAGCGCGAGAGGUCCCGUCCGCCCCAGCCGCGUCUGGGCCAGGAUAAAAGCAAAACCAUAUUCCUGCUGCUGUCAGUUAUGAUGCACUGAGAAAACUUCAGAGACCUAAACUUUUUCCAGAGAAGAGAAGCUUUACUGGUGUUCCAGCCCUAAGAAACCUUUGUUCAAGAAAACGGCAGAUGCUCUGUUGAAUCCACUGGAGAUUGUUCUGAUACUAAGGACAAGUAUCAACCAUCUUUCCUGUGAAAAAUUCCCUCUCGUACUUUAGUUCUGUGGAUCCAAAAUUUAUAGCAUUCUUCUACCACCACAGGGGCUCAUAUGACAUUAACAGACAAGACACUUUUCAGAAAGACAGGCAACGUGUUGGACCUUCCGGAGCUUCUCAGAAGACAGAGGGUUUUCUUUUGAGGUAAAUUUGAUAGUACAUUUUGAUAGUACGGGAGGCGAUACGGCAUGGUGACAGAAAAGCGCCGGCUUGGUUAGCAGGACCACCUGGCAGGGCUGCAGGCUGUGCCACUUACCAGGCAGGGGACCUUGGGCCAGCUGCUUGGCCUCACUCACCCUGUUUCUCAGCUGCAAUUGGGAUGAACAGACUGCCUGCUUCGGGGUUGCCUAAAACUCACAUUG